rnacentral:rRNA from 1 species
UACGUAGGUGGCAAGCGUUGUCCGGAUUUAUUGGGUUUAAAGGGUGCGUAGGCGGUCUUUUAAGUCAGUGCUGAAAUACUCCAGCUUAACUGGAGGGGUGGCAUUGAUACUGGAAGACUUGAGUGCAGUCGAGGUAGGCGGAAUUGACGGUGUAGCGGUGAAAUGCUUAGAUAUCGUCAAGAACACCGAUAGGUAAGACAGCUUACUAGGCUGCAACUGACGCUGAGGCACGAAAGUGUGGGGAUCAAACAGG